ensembl:snoRNA
UGUGUCCGUGAUGACGACUUGGUUCCCUCUGCUGAAGCCUGUGUGGAUACUUGCCUUUCGUUACCCAAGUUCUGUCUGAGGUGCU